rnacentral:rRNA from 1 species
GAUGAACGCUGGCGGCGUGCCUAGUACAUGCGAGUCGAGCGAACGGACGAGAAGCUUGCUUCUCUGAUGUUAGCGGCGGACGGGUGAGUAACACGUGGAUAACCUACCUAUAAGACUGGGAUAACUUCGGGAAACCGUAGCUAAUACCGGAUAAUAUUUUGAACCGCAUGGUUCAAAAGUGAAAGACGGUCUUGCUGUCACUUAUAGAUGGAUCCGCGCUGCAUUAGCUAGUUGGUAAGGUAACGGCUUACCAAGGCAACGAUGCAUAGCCGACCUGAGAGGGUGAUCGGCCACACUGGAACUGAGACACGGUCCAGACUCCUACGGGAGGCAGCAGUAGGGAAUCUUCCGCAAUGGGCGAAAGCCUGACGGAGCAACGCCGCGUGAGUGAUGAAGGUCUUCGGAUCGUAAAACUCUGUUAUUAGGGAAGAACAUAUGUGUAAGUAACUGUGCACAUCUUGACGGUACCUAAUCAGAAAGCCACGGCUAACUACGUG